rnacentral:rRNA from 1 species
GACGAACGCUGGCGGCACGCUUAACACAUGCAAGUCGAACGGAGAACAUUGAGCUUGCUUAAUGUUCUUAGUGGCGGACGGGUGAGUAACACGUGAGUAACCUGCCUCUGAGAGUGGGAUAGCUUCUGGAAACGGAUGGUAAUACCGCAUAACAUCAUGGAUUCGCAUGUUUCUAUGAUCAAAGAUUUAUCGCUCAGAGAUGGACUCGCGUCUGAUUAGCUAUUUGGUAAGGUAACGGCUUACCAAGGCGACGAUCAGUAGCCGGACUGAGAGGUUGAUCGGCCACAUUGGGACUGAGACACGGCCCAGACUCCUACGGGAGGCAGCAGUGGGGAAUAUUGCACAAUGGGGGAAACCCUGAUGCAGCGAUGCCGCGUGGAGGAAGAAGGUUUUCGGAUUGUAAACUCCUGUUGAAGAGGACGAUAAUGACGGUACUCUUUUAGAAAGCUCCGGCUAACUACGUGCCAGCCGCCGCCGUAA